GGCUCAAACAGGAAAGGAUGUAUUUGGAAUCCAUUGGGACAAGAGCAGCAAAAUGUGUUUUGUUUCUGAAGCGAAAAUUGGGAACUGGCAAGACUAGGAGCAGACCCUUUUGUCACCUUGGACUGUCAGGUUUUCUGGAAGGGCUGGCACUGAAGGGAUAAAUCCAACUGGAAAGGAAAAUGAGAUUGGAUUGGCACAUGGUCACUCUUGGGCCUUGCAAGAACUUUAAAGAUCAUGAGUUUAUUCUUCAUUCCUGGGCAGUAAGUAAUUAUUCAUAAUGAGGAUUUAGGACCUUGAAAAUCUUGCAAACUGUAUUAUCUAAAUAAGUUAGUCAUCUCCAUGAACUUCAAUGGGUCUACUCUGAGUCGGACAAGCAUUGAAUACCACCCCAUGACAUAUUGUGAAUGUAAAUCAAUGAUUGAUUUCAAAGUCUUUCAACUGAAAGCUUUUGGUCCAGCUACAGGGUUGACACUUGUUGCUUUUGUAUAAUUAAACAAAUUUACAAGCCUAAUACAUUUUACAAAUUAGCUAUAGAGCAAGCCAGCCUGGACAAAAUUGAUGGUACAAGAGAGUCUAAGCCUCUUUAGACUGGUAUUUUAUUGCAGGUGUAUUCUGCAACAUAUUCUUGACAUUAUAAUAGUACAUUAGUGGUGGAUUUAUUCUGCUCCAGUUUGUUCUUCCAUGCUUCCCCAGUGACACUACAUUAUUGCUGCCUGGAGGAGCUAUAGCACAACAAAAGCAGGACAAAAAUAAACCAGAACAUUUGUGGUAUAAAAAGUCAUGGUACUGAAGCAGGAACUUACGAAAUGUGCACAGAUUGGAAAUGAAGCAGUUUGACUGCCCCAAAACCUUUGCAGGUACAAACAGUAUUGAAAGCAGGAUGACAUUUGACCGCCACAAUAACAUCCUGAGCACAAAUAUCAUGAAUGCACAAGAAAAAAGAUGUCUUAAGUACAAAGCAUGAAAGUUUAUCAGUAAGAAGGUACCAGCUGCUUUUUUAUUUAUCCAUUACCAAAAGGCUUUGCUAGUGCCACUCUUUCAAAAACAAAUCCUCUGGUGUACUUUAAUGGAUAUAGACUUUUUGCAUCAUCUCAUUGAUUUUUCUGAAUUAAAUAAAUCUGUAAGAAUGUGAAGGAACAGUCAUGGAAGUAACCCAUUUUCUUUAGGAAAGAACAUUAAAACUGAGUUGGAUUUUUUAUUGUUACAUUUUUAACCUUUACAAGUGGACAGUUUGCUUGUCUAGCAAAAAUUGGUCAAAUAAAAUUUAUCUUCCUUUGUACUUUACCUUCAGGAAAUGGCAAAUGCUGGUGUAAUGACAAGUAAGAGAGACUAUCAAAUGGUUUGGGGAAGGAGGAAGGGGGUAGAGAUUUGCUGUCUUUAAAAUGCCAGGAUAUUAUAUAUGUCAUUAUGUCUUUCUAUUUCUCGGUACUGCAGAUAUCAAAUAUCUGAAUCUCUCUCCCCCCCCCUUGCUGGAAAAGUAUAAUUUUAUGAAUAUCGGCAUCUGGCAAACUUUCCUCGAAACUGCAGGCACAAAUGUAGCUUUAGUAUCCCACAAACAAUUUAGUCAAUGUGACCUGGUUUUAUAACAUCUGAAAGUUGUUUAUCCCAAACUAAGAUUAGAUGCAUAGUUCUUCAUUUCAGAGAGGGCCUAUAAGCAUAGACAGGUCCAUGUUGUUCCUUAAAGUAACCCAGCUUGCUCCGAAUAGCUGGGAUUAGGUAACUGAUUGGGCCUUUCAGGUCAGAAGAUAAUGGGCUGGAUCCAGAAUAGGUUUAUCAUUCUUUAGGCCCAUUGAAACUUAUGGGACAAGUAAGUCAUGACUAGGGAUGGAUGAAUCUAAACCAGGCCAUCCUGUCCUGUUUUGGUCUGCAGAUGUCUGCAAAUGCCUGCCCUGUUCCUGUGCAGAUUUGUUUAGGAUAAUUCUGGGAAAAUCCUAAAAAAUCUCCACACAUAAGACAAGGCAACCCUCCACCACCCCCCAACAAAUUAAAGAAUUCUUAUGAGGUAUAGUGAGAGGUGUUCUGUAUUUGUUUCCCUUGCUUUUAUCAGCGUAAACUGCUUGGAACAGCUUAAAAGCACGGCCCCUCCAUCACUUGUAAAAAUGAUUUCAAAAACAGUGCAAGAAGUGGCUGCAUGUUGCUUCCUGUGUAAUUCUGUGCACAAAGUGCCAUUAUACAUACAACAAAAUGGCUGCCUCCUAUUCUACUGCUGGUAUUGAUUGCAAUGUACUAAGAUAAGAACAAAGAAACUAGCUGGGAAUUCUGAUGUACUUGUCUAUGCAGAUGUAAUUGGCAGAUACCCAAAAGGUGAUGACUUAUCUUUAAGUUUCGUUUUACUAAACUGCUUGCUUGUAACUUUUUAUUGUCAUAUAGCAUCAUUGAGAUAAGAUAUAAAACAAGGCCUGUUCAGGAAUAUGGCAGGCAGCUCACUUUAAGCAUAAGCGGUGAGUGUGUCUCUAUUCUGCAGAAUAAAACUUGGGUAACCCUCGUCUAACGUCUCGUUCUUGGUGGUAAAUCAGAGUAAGCCUACCAGGGAAAUGAACAGCAUUUUUGCAACACUGGGAGCAGCCAUUUCUUGUACUACAAUGAUGGACACUUCCUACAUCAUUUUAAAAAGCAUUUCUACUCUGCAUGGUGGAGGCGCCAUGUGUUGAAGCCACUCCUAGCAACUUUACACGAUUAAAGCAAGCAAGCAAACAAACAGAAUAGUCCUCAGUACACCUUGUAAGUACAAUGGUCGAACCAGCCGUUAGAAAGUUUCAUAGUUCUGAAUAUUAAACUAUAACAUAUUAUAUAUUAUAAACUAUAUUAUAUUAUAAACUCAUAUUAAACUAAUAUUCAACUAUGUUCCAUCUGAGGACUGGUUGGACAGGAUGAGAGAGGUGGUGGUAGUUCACUGUAAAAUCUAGGCUGGAUUGAAAUUGUAUAUCGUUCCUAGAAUUAAGUCUCAUAGAUUUCAAUAGAACUAAAUAAUGUCUAAAUUUAAUCUCUAUCUAUUUGUGUAGGCUUGAGCGCCAGAAUCUCUCCCUUUAGAAAUUAAGUAGUGGCCACUGGUAGGAUUUUCAGUUGAAACUCUCUGGCUUUGUACUAGUUGCUUUUCUCAAAUUUAUUCUCUCCACCUGCUAAACAAGAAUACGUAUUUGAACAAGCAACUUGCGAUUGAUUUGUUGUUGCUGACACAAUGAAUAAAUCUGAAGGAGGGUGAAAAUUGCCUGGUAAGAAUGAUUCAAAUAUCACCUGUCUUCUUGGGUGA